GAAAUGCGAUACUUGGUGUGAAUUGCAGAAUCCCGUGAACCAUCGAGUCUUUGAACGCAAGUUGCGCCCGAAGCCAUUAGGCCGAGGGCACGCCUGCCUGCGUUCUUCAUGAUGCAGGAGGAAUUCCA
rnacentral:misc_RNA from 1 species